UCCAAAGGACGCCUCCUUUCCUUC
rnacentral:piRNA from 1 species